AUUGAACGCUAGCGGCAGGCCUAACACAUGCAAGUCGAGCGGAUGAAGGGAGCUUGCUCCUGGAUUCAGCGGCGGACGGGUGAGUAAUGCCUAGGAAUCUGCCUGGUAGUGGGGGAUAACGUCCGGAAACGGGCGCUAAUACCGCAUACGUCCUGAGGGAGAAAGUGGGGGAUCUUCGGACCUCCCGCUAUCAGAUGAGCCUAGGUCGGAUUAGCUAGUUGGUGGGGUAAAGGCCUACCAAGGCGACGAUCCGUAACUGGUCUGAGAGGAUGAUCAGUCACACUGGAACUGAGACACGGUCCAGAAUCCUACGGGAGGCAGCAGUGGGGAAUAUUGGACAAUGGGCGAAAGCCUGAUCCAGCCAUGCCGCGUGUGUGAAGAAGGUAUUCGGAUUGUAAAGCACUUUAAGUUGGGAGGAAGGGCAGUAAGUUAAUACCUUGCUGUUUUGACGGUACCAACAGAAUAAGCACCGGCUAACUUCGUG
rnacentral:rRNA from 1 species